CAAUAGCGUAUAUUAAAGUUGUUGCGGUUAAAAGCUCGUAGUUGGAUUUCUGCCGAGGACGACCGGUCCGCCCUCUGGGUGAGUAUCUGGCUUGGCCUGGGCAUCUUCUUGGAGAACGUAGCUGCACUUGACUGUGUGGUGCGGUAUCCAGGACUUUUACUUUGAGGAAAUUAGAGUGUUUCAAGCAGGCAUACGCCUUGAAUACAUUAGCAUGGAAUAAUGAUAUAGGGCAUAAGUUCUAUUUUGUUGGUUUCUAGAACAUAUGCAAUGAUUAAUAGGGAUAAUUGGGGGCACUCGUAUUAACGCGUCAGAGGUGGAAUUCUUAGAUUGCGUUACGACGAACUACUGCGAAAGCAUUUGCCAAGGAUGUUUUCAUUGAUCAAGAACGAAAGUAUGGGGAUCGAAGAUGAUCAGAUACCGU
rnacentral:rRNA from 1 species